UAUUCUUACGGUUUAGUAUUUU
rnacentral:snRNA from 1 species